GACGAACGCUGGCGGCGUGCUUAACACAUGCAAGUCGAACGGAAAGGCCCUGCUUUUGUGGGGUGCUCGAGUGGCGAACGGGUGAGUAACACGUGAGUAACCUGCCCUUGACUUUGGGAUAACUUCAGGAAACUGGGGCUAAUACCGGAUAGGAGCUCCUGCUGCAUGGUGGGGGUUGGAAAGUUUCGGCGGUUGGGGAUGGACUCGCGGCUUAUCAGCUUGUUGGUGGGGUAGUGGCUUACCAAGGCUUUGACGGGUAGCCGGCCUGAGAGGGUGACCGGCCACAUUGGGACUGAGAUACGGCCCAGACGCCUACGGGAGGCAGCAGUGGGGAAUAUUGCACAAUGGGCGGAAGCCUGAUGCAGCAACGCCGCGUGCGGGAUGACAGCCUUCGGGUUGUAAACCGCUUUCGCCUGUGACGAAGCGUGAGUGACGGUAAUGGGUAAAGAAGCACCGGCUAACUACGUG
rnacentral:rRNA from 1 species